rnacentral:tRNA from 1 species
AGGGGUAUAGCUCAAUUGGUAGAGUAGCGGACUCCAAAUCCGUUGGUUGCGGGUUCGAUCCCUGCCACCCCUGCCA